UCCCUGUUACCAGGGCAGUCUAGCUAGAAAAAUACAACUAACUACAAGGGUUGCGCUCGUUGAUGGACUUAACCAAACAUCUCACGACACGAGCUGACGACGGCCAUGCAUCACCUGUCACUUGGUUCCUUACGGCACAGUAUCCUUUCGGAUGCUCUCCAAGGAUGUCAAGCCUGGGUAAGGUUCUUCGCUUACCAUCGAAUUAAACAACACGCUCCACCGCUUGUGCGGGUCCCCGUCAAUUCCUUUAUGUUUUAGUCUUGCGACCGUACUCCACAGGCGGGAUGCUUAACGCGUUAGCUUCGCUACAAGAAGGGUCGAUACUUCUUACAGCUAGCAUCCAUAGUUUACGGCGUGGACUAC
rnacentral:misc_RNA from 1 species